rnacentral:rRNA from 1 species
CAGUAGCCACGGUAAUACGUAGGUCCCGAGCGUUGUCCGGAAUUAUUGGGCGUAAAGCGCGCGCAGGCGGAUAGGUCAGUCUGUCUUAAAAGUUCGGGGCUUAACCCCGUGAUGGGAUGGAAACUGCCAAUCUAGAGUAUCGGAGAGGAAAGUGGAAUUCCUAGUGUAGCGGUGAAAUGCGUAGAUAUUAGGAAGAACACCAGUGGCGGAGGCGACUUUCUGGACGAAAACUGACGCUGAGGCGCGAAAGCCAGGGGAGCGAACGGGAUUAGAUACCCCCGUAGUCCCUGUCUCUUAUACA